rnacentral:rRNA from 1 species
UACAGGGGAUGCAAGCGUUAUCCGGAAUGAUUGGGCGUAAAGCGUCUGUAGGUGGCUUUUUAAGUCCGCCGUCAAAUCCCAGGGCUCAACUCUGGACAGGCGGUGGAAACUACCAAGCUGGAGUACGGUAGGGGCAGAGGGAAUUUCCGGUGGAGCGGUGAAAUGCGUAGAGAUGCGGAGGAACACCUGUGGCGAAAGCGGCUCACUGGACCAUUACUGACGCUGAGGCACGAAAGCUAGGGGAGCAAACAGG